rnacentral:rRNA from 1 species
CGGGUCGUAAAGCACUGUUGUAUGGGAAGAACAGCUAGAAUAGGAAAUGAUUUUAGUUUGACGGUACCAUACCAGAAAGGGACGGCUAAAUACGUGCCAGCAGCCGCGGUAAUACGUAUGUCCCGAGCGUUAUCCGGAUUUAUUGGGCGUAAAGCGAGCGCAGACGGUUUAUUAAGUCUGAUGUGAAAGCCCGGAGCUCAACUCCGGAAUGGCAUUGGAAACUGGUUAACUUGAGUGCAGUAGAGGUAAGUGGAACUCCAU